rnacentral:siRNA from 1 species
GAUGCAACCGUUGGUGUC